AUCCGUGUUGAGGUUUCGUCACACACCAGACCACAAGGGCUGAUGAGGCUUCCAAGAU
rnacentral:pre_miRNA from 1 species